rnacentral:misc_RNA from 1 species
GUGCCCCCUCCCCUCCAGGCCACCAUGCACUAUUCCCAUGAUAUAUUGGCUUUGUGUUUAUGAGAUGAGCUAAUUAGGUUGCUUUUUUAACUAAUACUAGUAUUACUUCUUUUAAGAGUUAUGACUUGAAUUUCCCAUAUCAAAUUACAUUUAACUCAAUGUAUUAUAUUUAUAAUAAGUAAAUAAAUGACAUUAUAUUAUAAUAUUACUAUUUGAUUGGCCUUAAACUGAA